UCGCAGGCGGUUUCUUAAGUCUGAUGUGAAAGCCCCCGGCUCAACCGGGGAGGGUCAUUGGAAACUGGGGAACUUGAGUGCAGAAGAGGAGAGUGGAAUUCCACGUGUAGCGGUGAAAUGCGUAGAGAUGUGGAGGAACACCAGUGGCGAAGGCGACUCUCUGGUCUGUAACUGACGCUGAGGAGCGAAAGCGUGGGGAGCGAACAGGAUUAGAUACCCUGGUAGUCCACGCCGUAAACGAUGAGUGCUAAGUGUUAGGGGGUUUCCGCCCCUUAGUGCUGCAGCUAACGCAUUAAGCACUCCGCCUGGGGAGUACGGUCGCAAGACUGAAACUCAAAGGAAUUGACGGGGGCCCGCACAAGCGGUGGAGCAUGUGGUUUAAUUCGAAGCAACGCGAAGAACCUUACCAGGUCUUGACAUCCUCUGACAAUCCUAGAGAUAGGACGUCCCCUUCGGGGGCAGAGUGACAGGUGGUGCAUGGUUGUCGUCAGCUCGUGUCGUGAGAUGUUGGGUUAAGUCCCGCAACGAGCGCAACCCUUGAUCUUAGUUGCCAGCAUUCAGUUGGGCACUCUAAGGUGACUGCCGGUGACAAACCGGAGGAAGGUGGGGAUGACGUCAAAUCAUCAUGCCCCUUAUGACCUGGGCUACACACGUGCUACAAUGGACAGAACAAAGGGCAGCGAAACCGCGAGGUUAAGCCAAUCCCACAAAUCUGUUCUCAGUUCGGAUCGCAGUCUGCAACUCGACUGCGUGAAGCUGGAAUCGCUAGUAAUCGCGGAUCAGCAUGCCGCGGUGA
rnacentral:rRNA from 1 species